GGAGAGGUCGCCUAGUCUGGCCUAGGGCGCACGAUUGGAAAUCGUGUAGGCGAAAGCCUCGCGGGUUCGAAUCCCGCCCUCUCCGCCU
rnacentral:tRNA from 1 species